GUACACUCCUGCGGGAGGCAGCAGUGGGGAAUAUUGGACAAUGGGCGCAAGCCUGAUCCAGCCAUGCCGCGUGAGUGAUGAAGGCCCUAGGGUUGUAAAGCUCUUUCACCGGUGAAGAUAAUGACGGUAACCGGAGAAGAAGCCCCGGCUAACUUCGUGCCAGCAGCCGCGGUAAUACGAAGGGGGCUAGCGUUGUUCGGAUUUACUGGGCGUAAAGCGCACGUAGGCGGACUAUUAAGUCAGGGGUGAAAUCCCGGGGCUCAACCCCGGAACUGCCUUUGAUACUGGUAGUCUUGAGUUCGAGAGAGGUGAGUGGAAUUCCGAGUGUAGAGGUGAAAUUCGUAGAUAUUCGGAGGAACACCAGUGGCGAAGGCGGCUCACUGGCUCGAUACUGACGCUGAGGUGCGAAAGCGUGGGGAGCAAACAGGAUUAGAAACCCUUGUAGUCC
rnacentral:rRNA from 1 species